AAUUGUAAGAAAAAAAUUCCUAAGUAUCUGAUGCUUUAUUACCUCCAUAUGGGUAUAUUAUGUGUUUUCCCCACUUGAGGUUGAGGCAGCACCUUUGAAGUGAAGGUUGAAAUAUUUUUAUUUCUGAUCAUUAAUUCAUGGGAUGUGAACAAAGCUAACAGAACUUAUGGUAGAGCAAUUUGCUCAUGAUCCCGCCAUCUGCUAGGUCAGUCUCAAAGCACUCAAGUGUUCAUAACAUCUCCCUCAAAUCCAAGUUUGGCAAAAAUGUCAUGAGAGAGAUUUUGAUGUUACAGUUUGGAGGAAGUGAGGACUGCAGAUGCUGGAGAUCAAA